CGAGCCGGGCAUGACAACUGCAAUCAGUGAUUAAGGAUUUUUCACUAAAAACAGAUGCAUAUAUAUGACUAAUAUAUAAAAUAACUGACAUCGGGUGCGGAGAAGCAGGCGAAGGGAGCCGUGAAUGCGAAUAAACGGGGUUUAAUCAGGGUAAAAAGGGAAUCACAGGGAACAAGGCACGUAGCAACAACAACGACAGAUCUGGAGAAUGAAAUAGAACACACUGAAAUACACAAGACAAACAAGAUCAAACAGGAAAGCUGGUAACAAGCUGGAUUCACACGAGAUAAAUGAGUGUAAUAUUCAGUUAUGAAGUCCAUCUUGCCACUCCUGAUAACGGUCCCUUCUGCAGCCAGACCCUUCUCCAU